UUAGAGAAAGAUGCUUUCCAAAUUACCAGUUUUUUAAAACUAAUACACCUCUUCAUCAUUUUGUGAUUCUGCUGGACAACUAGUGUUUUACAUGGAUCUCUUAAUCUUUAGAAAUUCUGGCUUAGAGUCCUAGACUCAGAGUGUACACGAGCAAACAUUUCAUCCAAGAUUUCUGGAUGAUUUCUAUGAUGAUUCCGUUGGGUACCAGCUGCCUCUGAACACAGAUCUGCCUGAUGGAGUCAUAGGCACACUCCUUGAAAACCACAGAACACUCAAAAUGACAAUCAUCAGGACGGAAAUACCUAGAAGAAAACAAGCCAAGGCCAAUUACAGCAUCUUGGAUUUGAAUGACUACAU
rnacentral:lncRNA from 1 species